rnacentral:rRNA from 1 species
UAGGGAAUUUUCGGCAAUGGGGGGAACCCUGACCGAGCAACGCCGCGUGAAGGAAGAAGGAAUUCGUUCUGUAAACUUCUGUUAUAAAGGAAGAAAGACGGAUGGAGGAAAUGACAUCCGAGUGACGGUACUUUAUGAGAAAGCCACGGCUAACUACGUGCCA